rnacentral:rRNA from 1 species
AUGGACGAGCUUGGCUUCUCAGCCAGUACUCUGCUCAUCAACAGUUUGAUGUCCCUUUGCAUGAAGUUAGGCCAACAUCACAAGAUUCGUAGCCUUUUUGAGGAGAUGAAGGAUGGAAUUGGAUCCAGACUUGGUAGUUUGAAAUUAUUCUCUGUCGAAUCUAGCAAUGAUCUUUUGGUCUCAUGGAGCUGGCAAUUGAUAGGCCAUAUGGACGGGGCAAAUGUUGAUGAAUACAACACAGAGAAUAUACCCUUAGCUGACAAUCUUGACCAUAGUUACUCAAUGGGUCCAGACGACAAGGGGGGCAACAACACAUCAGAUUGGUCUAGUGAUGCUUCUUUGCCGGCCCCUAGUAAUCUCACACUGGUUUAUGCCACAGAUGUACCACAAAGUUCAAAUGGAAAAGUUAAGGAUUGUGAGCGAGAAAGUGGAGAGAAAAAAGUGCCAGUGAGCUCGGAGAACUUAACCCUGUUUGGAUCCGGUUGGGAAUGGGUAAAUCUUGCUAAGCAACUACGAGAGCGCAACAGAACUAAGCUGAUGGGGAUGCGAGAAACUACCAAAGACGACACCUGGUCGACAAAGAUGGAUGCGAGUUCUGGUCUAACUUCAUUUUGCAAGGGCCACUGA